UACGUAGGGAGCAAGCGUUGUCCGGAAUCAUUGGGCGUAAAGCGCGCGUAGGUGGCCCAGUAAGUCCGUUCUGAAAGUCACAGGCUCAACCUGUGAAAGCGGAUGGAUACUGCUGGGCUAGAGUCCGGAAGAGGCGAGUGGAAUUCCUGGUGUAGCGGUGGAAUGCGCAGAUAUCAGGAGGAACACCAACGGCGAAGGCAGCUCGCUGGGACGGUACUGACGCUGAGGCGCGAAAGCGUGGGGAGCGAACAGG
rnacentral:rRNA from 1 species